rnacentral:rRNA from 1 species
UACGAAGGGGGCUAGCGUUGCUCGGAAUGACUGGGCGUAAAGGGCGCGUAGGCGGCGCAGUUAGUCAGGCGUGAAAUUCCUGGGCUCAACCUGGGGACUGCGCUUGAUACGGCUGUGCUUGAGGAUGGAAGAGGCUCGCGGAAUUCCCAGUGUAGAGGUGAAAAUUCGUAGAUAUUGGGGAAAGAACACCGGUGGCGAAAGGCGGCGAGCUGGUCCAUUACUGACGCUGAGGCGCGACAGCGUGGGGGAGCAAACAGG